rnacentral:rRNA from 1 species
AUUGAACGCUGGCGGCAUGCCUUACACAUGCAAGUCGAACGGCAGCACGGGAGCAAUCCUGGUGGCGAGUGGCGAACGGGUGAGUAAUAUAUCGGAACGUGCCCAGUCGUGGGGGAUAACGUAGCGAAAGCUACGCUAAUACCGCAUACGAUCUAUGGAUGAAAGCGGGGGAUCGCAAGACCUCGCGCGAUUGGAGCGGCCGAUAUCAGAUUAGGUAGUUGGUGAGGUAAAGGCUCACCAAGCCGACGAUCUGUAGCUGGUCUGAGAGGACGACCAGCCACACUGGGACUGAGACACGGCCCCAGACUCCUACGGGAGGCAGCAGUGGGGGAAUUUUUGGGACAAUGGGUCGCAAGCCUCGAUCCAGCAAUGCCGCGUGCAGGAUGAAGGCCUUCGGGUU